UGAGGGAUAUUAGGCAAUGGGGGAAACCCUGACCUAGCAACGCCGCGUGAAGGAUGAAGGUUUUCGGAUUGUAAACUUCUUUGACGAGGGACGAUAAUGACGGUACCUCGAAAACAAGCCACGGCUAACUACGUGCCAGCAGCCGCGGUAAUACGUAGGUGGCGAGCGUUGUCCGGAUUUACUGGGUGUAAAGGGCGUGUAGGCGGAUAAGCAAGUCAGAUGUGAAAUGCAGAGGCUUAACCUCUGAGCUGCAUUUGAAACUGCAUAUCUUGAGUGAUGGAGAGGUAAGCGGAAUUCCCGGUGUAGCGGUAAAAUGCGUAGAUAUCGGGAGGAACACCAGUGGCGAAGGCGGCUUACUGGACAUUAACUGACGCUGAGGCGCGAAAGUGUGGGGAGCAAACAGG
rnacentral:rRNA from 1 species